UGGCGGCGUGGAUAAGACAUGCAAGUCGAACGAGAGAAUUGCUAGCUUGCUAAUAAUUCUCUAGUGGCGCACGGGUGAGUAACACGUGAGUAACCUGCCCCCGAGAGCGGGAUAGCCCUGGGAAACUGGGAUUAAUACCGCAUAGUAUCGAAAGAUUAAAGCAGCAAUGCGCUUGGGGAUGGGCUCGCGGCCUAUUAGUUAGUUGGUGAGGUAACGGCUCACCAAGGCGAUGACGGGUAGCCGGUCUGAGAGGAUGUCCGGCCACACUGGAACUGAGACACGGUCCAGACACCUACGGGUGGCAGCAGUCGAGAAUCAUUCACAAUGGGGGAAACCCUGAUGGUGCGACGCCGCGUGGGGGAAUGAAGGUCUUCGGAUUGUAAACCCCUGUCAUGUGGGAGCAAAUUAAAAAGAUAGUACCACAAGAGGAAGAGACGGCUAACUCUGUGCCAGCAGCCGCGGUAAUACAGAGGUCUCAAGCGUUGUUCGGAAUCACUGGGCGUAAAGCGUGCGUAGGCUGUUUCGUAAGUCGUGUGUGAAAGGCGCGGGCUCAACCCGCGGACGGCACAUGAUACUGCGAGACUAGAGUAAUGGAGGGGGAACCGGAAUUCACGGUGUAGCA
rnacentral:rRNA from 1 species